rnacentral:lncRNA from 1 species
CUCACAGGAAAAUCCCGUGGAAACUGGGAAGGAAAGGGCGCGGCUUGCUCUGGACAGAGGCCUGCUCGGCCACUACACGAGGAAGGGGAAGGGACUGACACGUGGUCCCGACUGGUCAGUGAGAGGGGAAAGGAGGGAAAGGAUGGCGCGCUGGGCUGGGGGGAUUGGGCCGCGGUUGCUGGGCCGACUGUGCGCUCUGGCCAACGGGCCGAGGCCGAGGGGAAAAGAAGGAGCCAGGCCUUCGGGCCAAAACAGAGAGAGGGAGAGGUUUUCUUUUUUUUAUAUACUUUCUAAUUUUCUUUCUUUUGUUCCAAAGUCAUUUUCCAAACCAUUUUAAAAUCACUUUUGAAAUAUUUUUGAGCUUUAGACAAAUCACUCAUGUCGACAAAAAUUAGUGCAAAAGCAUGAAUGCACAACAAGUUGC